rfam:Schistosoma haematobium scaffold1214_7, whole genome shotgun sequence.
AUCCAACUGACGAGUCCCAACUAGGAUGAAACACAUGUUGUAGAU